GGGUCUGUAGCUCAGGUGGUUAGAGCGUACGCCUGAUAAGCGUAAGGCCGGUGGUUCGAGUCCACUCAGACCCACCA
rnacentral:tRNA from 2 species